UAAUUAAUCUGAGCAAGCACCAGUGUUUACAAGGCACCCUAUCCUAAGGGUGAAAAAGAUGAAAAGUGAAGUCUCCUUUCCGCCUGUUUCCCACUUACCGUUUCUUUCUCUGCAGAGAUGCUACCAUUUUGGGGGUUGACACUCCAUUAUAAUGGAUGAACCCUGAUGUGUUUAACCGGCCAGCUAUUGAUGGACAUUUCGGUUGUAGUAUUUUGCCUUUACUCACAGGGCUUCAGGAAACAGGUUCUGGAACCGCCCCUUCCCCUGGCCCUGGAAAGGGGCUUCCGGCUCUUGCUAGUCCUGGAAGUUUCUGGAAGUGCGUUUGUUCCCUCAACCCUGCCUGCACCUCUGUAAAGAAUCUUCAUUAAACGUCUCUUUUAAACCUCU